UUUUUUUUUUCUCCAAUGCUCGUCGCCAGCAAGCAGUUGAGUAUCGGUCGAUCUCACAGUUGGGACACCCUGGGGGGGAAUGAGGGUCAGUGGGCCGGGGGAGAAAGCGUGUAUGACCAACAAGGCAGGAUAGCGGGUCGACGAAACUCGCUGUCUUACGGGGCAGAGGGAGGAGGUUACUAUGAGACUCCCCCUGGGAUGCGUCCUCCGGACCUGGAUCUGAAACGAGACCCCUACUCCUACCAAGACUCUCUGUACAGUCAGCAAGGCUACACUACCGAUCCCCGGGGAAUGAGAAAGGGCUCAGUCCCUGAGCUAAACAACUACGACCGUCCACCCAUGGCUAAUAGUCACCGAGGAUUCAUCGCCUCCCAGGACUAUUAUCCCCAUGACCCUGCUAUGGCUCCCCGACCACCAGAGGACCCCCGGGGCUUCUACCGGGUGGAGCAUCAGACUCAGGAGCAGCCUCACCCGCUCAGCAGAUCCCCGUCCCACUACGGGAUGAACCCAGUGGGACGCCCACCAUGGGACCAGGGACAGGGAGGGAGGCCCUUACCUCCGGGUCCUUCGUCUUUUUCUCCUCUUCCUCCUCGCCCUCUUCCGCCAACUGCCCAUUGCAUUAACCAGGUUUACAAUCAGCCUGCAGCUGUAGCUGCAACCGCCACUGCCAAUAUGAUGCCAGAUGGCCAAAGCUCUCCUGCUCACUAUGGAAUGGAACAACCCUCUUCACCUCGUUACACUUCUGAGCCAACCCCUCUAGCCGGCCAGACAGUCUAUACCGACAUCAACGGCCAUCCCGUGGACCCUCGGCAGCAGCCUGCAGCCACCUGCCUGGUGGUGGACCCUAACACUCAGGGGCUGGAUGGGAGCAUACAGCAGCGAGGUAUGAUGAUAAGGCAGGAGUGCACAUUGCCCUACAGCGUUCAACAACAACAAGCUCCGCAGCCCAACAUGCAGGUCUACAACCCCAACCCUCCUGUCGCCGCCCAUGUUCCUGCACCUGUUCCUGCCCCUCUUCCUAUCCCACCUGCCCCUGUAGCCCUCCCCCCUCCACCUCCCACAGCCCACCAGACGCCUGCAGCUCCAGUGGAUCACAAGAGGAACGCCGACCCAGAGUUCCUGGCUCUUCUUCGAAACGAGGGUCUCUCAGAGAGUACCAUCUCCUCACUCAUCCAGCAGGGCUUUGACACAACCGGCAUGCUGGCAGUCAUGGAGGAGAAUGACGUACGUUCAGUGGCUCCCAACCUAGGGCAGGCGCGGGUGCUGUCACGGGUGGCCAUCAGCGUCAAGAGGCCCUUAGAGCCCCCUCCCACGCCCCAGCAACAGGCCCACAUGCGGGGCCGCUCCAACAGCUUCAGCCACCGCUCUGACAUGUACCUCCAGCAGCAGCAGCAGGCCAUGGGCAUGGACCCCCGGCUGAUGCCACCACAGACCCCUGGUACCAUGCAGACCAUCUCCCCCACCAUGGCUGAGGCCUUGGCCAGGAGGCCCAACAGUGCUCCCUCUCAGCAACUUCUGGAAAAUACACAGGGCUACCCAGGACCUCGUACCCCAGGGACCUACAAUGGUGCCAUGGUCCCUGUCCAGUCCCGGCCCAUGUCUGCAUUCUCCCAACACCCGGGUGUCCCCAUGACGCCGGGCAUGCAGAUGAUGGGUGCCAUGCCCCAGCAGAUGCAAGCCAUGCAACAACAGCAAAUGCCAGUGUGCAUGCCUGCCCAGCCGUCACCUCAGCAGGCCCCAAGGGCAUACUCCACCAACUACACAGUGCCCAUGGAGCUGAUGAAACGGGACCGCAGCCUGCAACCCGUGCACAGCGCCCACCCCAGCCCUCAGAUGAUACGCAAGGCUGGGGGCACCCCGUCCGAUGGAGCCAUGAUGCCAGUGGGUACCAGCAUGCAGAACCAGAGUGCUAUGGCCACCAACCAGAAGCUUAGCCGCCGUACUGGCCCACCUGUCAUCGUCUCCACCAUGGCAUCACCAGAUACAAGUAUCCGACCCCAGAUCAUGAAUGGGCCCAUGCACCCUCGCCCCCUAGUGGCCCUGUUGGAUGGACGUGACUGUACAGUCGAGAUGCCCAUCCUCAAAGACCUGGCCACAGUCGCCUUCUGUGAUGCCCAGUCCACACAGGAGAUCCAUGAGAAGGUGCUGAACGAGGCAGUAGGGGCCAUGAUGUACCACACCAUCACCUUGACCAGAGAAGACCUGGAGAAAUUCAAGGCUCUACGCAUUAUCAUCCGCAUCGGCAGCGGCUACGACAACAUCGACAUCAAGGCAGCCGGAGAGAUGGGCAUCGCGGUGUGUAACAUCCCAUCGGCGGCGGUGGAGGAGACAGCAGACUCCACUCUGUGCCACAUUCUCAACCUGUACCGGCGGAACACAUGGCUGUACCAGGCGCUCCGGGAGGGCACACGGGUCCAGAGCGUGGAGCAGAUCAGAGAGGUGGCAUCCGGAGCCGCCAGGAUCCGAGGAGAAACGCUGGGCCUCAUUGGCUUUGGUCGUUCAGGGCAGGCGGUGGCAGUGCGGGCCAAGGUGUUUGGCUUCAACGUGAUCUUUUACGACCCGUACCUGCAGGACGGUCUGGAGCGUUCGCUGGGUGUUCAGCGUGUCUAUACCCUGCAGGACUUGCUCUACCAGAGUGACUGUGUCUCCCUGCACUGCAACCUGAAUGAACACAACCACCACCUCAUCAACGACUUCACCAUCAAACAGAUGCGCCAGGGUGCGUUUCUGGUUAACUCUGCGCGGGGAGGUCUGGUGGAUGAGAAGGCCUUAGCUCAGGCCCUGAAAGAGGGCAGGAUACGGGGAGCUGCCCUGGAUGUCCAUGAGUCAGAACCCUUCAGUUUUACCCAGGGUCCUCUGAAGGAUGCUCCUAACCUGAUCUGUACUCCUCACACGGCCUGGUACAGUGAACAGGCCUCGCUGGAGAUGAGAGAGGCAGCCGCCACAGAGAUACGCAGAGCCGUCACUGGCCGUAUUCCCGACAGUUUACGAAACUGUGUCAACAAAGAGUUCUUUGUUACCACGGCUCCUUGGACAGUGGAACAGCAGCAAAUGCACCCCGAACUCAACGGUGCCGCGUACAGCCGAGUCAACCAAACCAUGGUACAGGCCAUAGGAACGGGGGGAAUGCAAGACAAAUUAUAUACCUAAUAGAGAACCAGUUUCCCAAGAACAACAGAUGAGGUCUUGUGGUCGUUUUGAAUCCUGAAUUGACAUGUACCCCCCUGGUGUGGCCUCUGGUGGGAUCCAUGGGCCAAUGGAGGGGAUGGUGCCUGGGGGGGUGACAAUCGCCCACACCCUGCCCUCCGGUACCCACCCCUCCCAGGCCCCGUCCCCCAACCAACCCUACAAAAACGGGGAGCCCAUGAGAGAGCACAUGACCGAGCCAUAACUCUGCAUCCAGAGACAAAGGAGUUCAUAUAUACACAACUGACCCACCCACUCAUCGACCAGCAGACUGAUCGUUAGGGUUCACACAACACCGGAACCAAGUGGGGACAGUGAAUAUAUUCACAACUGCUUCUCCAAAGUGGGGACCGUCAAAACUCAUGUUCCAAGGAUCCUCUUCUUUUAAUUUUUUUUUAUUCCUGCUUUCUGGGACACGUUGUUACCGCAUGCCAGAGUUAAGGCCCGUCCACCUUGACUGACCCACCAAUAAGAGAGCUUGGAAGGACAAUGACAUCAUCUGUUACUUGCCUUCCUCUAACUCCACCCUGCCCCAUUCCAUCAUUUCAGUUCACGUGUGUCUAUUUGUCUUUCCUCUGUUCUGAGACCACCCUACAAAUGAAUAUGUCUUUCUCUUCUUCAAUGUGAAAAAAGAAAUUAAGAAAUGACAUAGUUGUCAGACAAGUAGAAAAAGACAAUUGGUGUUACCAAUGCCAUCAGCAGUCUCAAUGGGGACCUCUAAACCCUGUCCUAGUCCAUCCCUCACCCUGUAGGUUGCUGGUUCCUGAAUGUACAGAAAGGAUUUGAUGGACACACCAGGGUUGCCAGAUCUCUUGAGUCUCAUGACCAGUACGAGAACAAUAAGCCCAAAUUUAAGUGAAUAUGGGACCUGAAACCGUUUGAAUUUGUCCAUUGUGAACAUCUCUCAACCCCUGAGAACACCCAAUAUAUUAUAGAGAAAAUGUUGAUCUGGUAAACUCCUUUUAGACAUCUAGUAUCUCUGAAGAGCUUCUUCAAAGCUCCAGGUUCUGACGCACAAGGAUUGAGAGACUUGCUGUAAAGGUCAUUAUCGCAAUCUUAAGACAAUGUAAACUUUUAACUGUUGAUUCAUUGACUUUCAUUCCAACUCCGGAUUCAGUAAUCAUGUGGUGGUCUAUCACUAAAAUAUUGAAAUAAGAAAUGCAUGCAAAAGCCAUUCUAACUGUUAAAAGCACCUGCUUUUACAUGGACCUCCACAUCAUGGAUUUGGACAUUGUCACAGGUGUUUGUAUGCUAGAGGGCUCUCUUAAAAUGUCCAUUUUUUUUUCUCUCACCAAAAGGACCUACACAGUAGCACCAGCCAGACAGGAAAGGGUUUGGAAAUUGAGGUUACUGACUCAGGAAAAAUAACUUUUGCAGAUAUAAUCUUUUUCCCCAAAUUGUCUGAAAGAAAAAAAGUCUGGAUCGUUCUGCGUGUUUCCACCUUUUCUUCAUUGUGGUAUUUUUAUAAAUCAAACCUCUGUUUUUUGGUGUUCAAGGUUUUUGCAGAGUCCUGUUAGAUUUGUAUUGCCUAGUUAAAUGUUCUUAUAAUCAUAGUCUUAUGUGAACCACCCCCCCCCCCUCCCCUGUUCUUAUAAUGAAAGCCAGUUGGAGCUCUUGGAGGCAUCGUGCACUCUGUGAGCAACAUCCCUAGUGCCCUGACUUUAGCAAGACAAGGCUACUAACAUAUUGUUUGGUUUUUAGUGUGAGUAUUUGUACAAGGUGAUCUAUAAAAUUCAGUGCAGUUCAAAUAAAAACAAUGCUGUUCUA